rnacentral:rRNA from 1 species
GACAUGCAGAGAACUUUCCAGAGAUGGAUUGGUGCCUUCGGGAACUCUGACACAGGUGCUGCAUGGCUGUCGUCAGCUCGUGCGUGAGAUGUUGGGUUAAGUCCCGUAACGAGCGCAACCCUUGUCCUUAGUUACCAGCACGUUAUGGUGGGCACUCUAAGGAGACUGCCGGUGACAAACCGGAGGAAGGUGGGGAUGACGUCAAGUCAUCAUGGCCCUUACGGCCUGGGCUACACACGUGCUACAAUGGUCGGUACAAAGGGUUGCCAAGCCGCGAGGUGGAGCUAAUCCCAUAAAACCGAUCGUAGUCCGGAUCGCAGUCUGCAACUCGACUGCGUGAAGUCGGAAUCGCUAGUAAUCGUGAAUCAGAAUGUCACGGUGAAUACGUUCCCGGGCCUU